rnacentral:lncRNA from 1 species
AAAAUCUUUGAUAUUAUCGGUACAUUUCAAAUCAGUGAUCAAGGCAAAUUCAAAGAUGAAAAAUCUAAGAAUGUUGCCCUUGAAAAAUACAUGCAUCUCAUCUUGAUUUUUUUUUCUCGAUCUCAAGCAUAAGUAGACACUAUGUAAUUUAUUCAAUGUAAUUGGACAAUGGGAUAUUGAGAUAACACCCAAAAAUUGUCUCAACAAAU